UGGGGAAUAUUGGACAAUGGGGGCAACCCUGAUCCAGCGAUGCCGCGUGUGUGAAGAAGGCCUGCGGGUUGUAAAGCACUUUCAGUAGGGAGGAGGACUAUUUUGUUAAGAGCUGAAUAGUUGGACGUUACCUAUAGAAGAAGCACCGGCUAACUCCGUGCCAGCAGCCGCGGUAAUACGGAGGGUGCAAGCGUUAAUCGGAAUGACUGGGCGUAAAGGGUGUGUAGGCGGUUUAAUAAGUUAAGUGUGAAAUUCCCGGGCUCAACCUGGGGUGGUCAUUUAAGACUGUUAGACUAGAGUAUGGGAGAGGGUAGUGGAAUUUCCGGUGUAGCGGUGAAAUGCGUAGAGAUCGGAAGGAACACCAGUGGCGAAGGCGGCUACCUGGCCUAAUACUGACGCUGAGACACGAAAGCAUGGGGAGCAAACAGG
rnacentral:rRNA from 1 species